rnacentral:tRNA from 1 species
CGGGAUGUAGCGCAGUUGGUAGCGCAUCUGGUUUGGGACCAGAGGGUCGCACGUUCGAGUCGUGUCAUCCCGA